CCGUUUCAUUUUAAAGGACCGAUCCGACUUUUAAACAACUAGAGCAAGCAGUACAGUACACAUACAGACUAUUUAAGGCUAACCGGGACAGUACACACUGUGAAUUAAGGGUUGGAAGCUCUCACACAAAAAUCGAUAAAAUACUGCCAGUUACUUUUUUAAAACUUAAGCUAGACACAAGUGCUUUAUAGUUCUAAAGUGUACAUGUUUAGUGCUAUAAAAUGCAUAAGUAAGUUAGAGCGGUAAAAUGAACCAACUCCUAUGGGGAGAUUCUAAUGCUGUACUUCAUAAAUUAGAUGUGCGAAUCAAUGCCGCAUUAUAUCUCAAGAAGACAAUAUAUGUCAUAUUUUUCUUUUAUGAAAGUUUCUAUGGCAUUUAAAGACGACAUAAAAAUGAAAAUGUCGUUGUUUCGGACAUUUGUUCUGAUGCCUUCCAUUUUCACAUUUGUUCUCGCAUUCUUUACAGUACAGGUCCUGAAAUACAAGACGAGUGCAAACAUACGCAAAAUAGAAAUAGAGGAGAUAGAGACUUUGAACAGAGUUCUUCAGUGUGAUAAAAAUAGACAGGCUGAGAGUACUGCACAGCUUGAGGUAGGAGUAAGGUUUGAGGAAAUAAAUAAAUCCCUGGAAACCUGGAAAACACUUCUCAAGGAUUGCUCAGUCAAACUUCAACAAGGAUAGAUAAAAACUCAUAAACACCUAUACUGCUUGGCCUCAAGUUUUUUAUAGAACAAGCCUGUAUCUAUAUCUAAACAGUGGUAAUCUCUUUUGUGUGUUUAACUCAUGAACCAUGGUAGAUGUUCCUCUUUGACAAAUU